GAUGAACGCUGGCGGCGUGCCUAACACAUGCAAGUCGAGCGGAGAUUCUGGAAGUAGCAAUACGACCGGGAUCUUAGCGGCGGACGGGUGAGUAACACGUGAAUAACCUGCCUUAUACUGGGGAAUAACACCGUGAAAAUGGUGCUAAUACCGCAUAAUGUUGUCUUAUGGCAUCAUAGGACAACCAAAGGAACAAUCCGGUAAAAGAUGGACUCGCGUCCGAUUAGCUAGUUGGUGAGAUAACGGCCACCAAGGCGACGAUCGGUAGCCGAACUGAGAGGUUGAUCGGCCACAUUGGGACUGAGACACGGCCCAGACUCCUACGGGAGGCAGCAGUGGGGAAUAUUGGGCAAUGGGCGAAAGCCUGACCCAGCAACGCCGCGUGAAGGAAGAA
rnacentral:rRNA from 1 species